rnacentral:rRNA from 1 species
ACGCUGGCGGCAGGCUUAACACAUGCAAGUCGAACGGUAACAGGAGAAAGCUUGCUUUCUUGCUGACGAGUGGCGGACGGGUGAGUAAUGCUUGGGAAUCUGGCUUAUGGAGGGGGAUAACGACGGGAAACUGUCGCUAAUACCGCGUAGAGUCGAGAGACGAAAGUGCGGGACCGCAAGGCCGCAUGCUAUAGGAUGAGCCCAAGUGGGAUUAGGUAGUUGGUGGGGUAAAGGCCUACCAAGCCGACGAUCUCUAGCUGGUCUGAGAGGAUGACCAGCCACACCGGGACUGAGACACGGCCCGGACUCCUACGGGAGGCAGCAGUGGGGAAUAUUGCGCAAUGGGGGCAACCCUGACGCAGCCAUGCCGCGUGAAUGAAGAAGGCCUUCGGGUUGUAAAGUUCUUUCGGUAUUGAGGAAGGUUGUUGUGUUAAUAGCACGACAAAUUGACGUUAAAUACAGAAGAAGCACCGGCUAACUCCGUGCCAGCAGCCGCGGUAAUACGGAGGGUGCGAGCGUUAAUCGGAAUAACUGGGCGUAAAGGGCACGCAGGCGGACUUUUAAGUGAGGUGUGAAAUCCCCGGGCUUAACCUGGGAAUUGCAUUUCAGACUGGGAGUCUAGAGUACUUUAGGGAGGGGUAGAAUUCCACGUGUAGCGGUGAAAUGCGUAGAGAUGUGGAGGAAUACCGAAGGCGAAGGCAGCCCCUUGGGAAUGUACUGACGCUCAUGUGCGAAAGCGUGGGGAGCAAACAGGAUUAGAUACCCUGGUAGUCCACGCUGUAAACGCUGUCGAUUUGGGGAUUGGGCCUUGAGCUUGGUGCCCGAAGCUAACGUGAUAAAUCGACCGCCUGGGGAGUACGGCCGCAAGGUUAAAACUCAAAUGAAUUGACGGGGGCCCGCACAAGCG